UUGAAGGCGUGGAGACUGAAGUCCUCUCUAUAUCCACAGAACAGGUAUGGCACAGGCAGCGGCAGUGCAGCUUUUCCACUGUCCCACCAAUGUGCCUCAGUACUAGCCCAGGGGGACCACGUUUAGGAUAAGAGGGCUGUUCAGUCUCCAUGCCCUUCAAUCCCUGGCUACU
ensembl:misc_RNA